AGAGUUUGAUCAUGGCUCAGAUUGAACGCUGGCGGCAGGCCUAACACAUGCAAGUCGAGCGGUAGCACAGAGAGCUUGCUCUCGGGUGACGAGCGGCGGACGGGUGAGUAAUGUCUGGGAAACUGCCUGAUGGAGGGGGAUAACUACUGGAAACGGUAGCUAAUACCGCAUAAUGUCGCAAGACCAAAGUGGGGGACCUUCGGGCCUCAUGCCAUCAGAUGUGCCCAGAUGGGAUUAGCUAGUAGGUGGGGUAACGGCUCACCUAGGCGACGAUCCCUAGCUGGUCUGAGAGGAUGACCAGCCACACUGGAACUGAGACACGGUCCAGACUCCUACGGGAGGCAGCAGUGGGGAAUAUUGCACAAUGGGCGCAAGCCUGAUGCAGCCAUGCCGCGUGUGUGAAGAAGGCCUUCGGGUUGUAAAGCACUUUCAGCGGGGAGGAAGGCGAUAAGGUUAAUAACCUUGUCGAUUGACGUUACCCGCAGAAGAAGCACCGGCUAACUCCGUGCCAGCAGCCGCGGUAAUACGGAGGGUGCAAGCGUUAAUCGGAAUUACUGGGCGUAAAGCGCACGCAGGCGGUCUGUCAAGUCGGAUGUGAAAUCCCCGGGCUCAACCUGGGAACUGCAUUCGAAACUGGCAGGCUAGAGUCUUUUAGAGGGGGGGUAGAAUUCCAGGUGUAGCGGUGAAAUGCGUAGAGAUCUGGAGGAAUACCGGUGGCGAAGGCGGCCCCCCUGGACAAAGACUGACGCUCAGGUGCGAAAGCGUGGGGAGCAAACAGGAUUAGAUACCCUGGUAGUCCACGCCGUAAACGAUGUCGAUUUGGAGGUUGUGCCCUUGAGGCGUGGCUUCCGGAGCUAACGCGUUAAAUCGACCGCCUGGGGAAUACGGCCGCAAGGUUAAAACUCAAAUGAAUUGACGGGGGCCCGCACAAGCGGUGGAGCAUGUGGUUUAAUUCGAUGCAACGCGAAGAACCUUACCUGGUCUUGACAUCCACAGAACUUUCCAGAGAUGGAUUGGUGCCUUCGGGAACUGUGAGACAGGUGCUGCAUGGCUGUCGUCAGCUCGUGUUGUGAAAUGUUGGGUUAAGUCCCGCAACGAGCGCAACCCUUAUCCUUUGUUGCCAGCGGUCCGGCCGGGAACUCAAAGGAGACUGCCAGUGAUAAACUGGAGGAAGGUGGGGAUGACGUCAAGCCAUCAUGGCCCUUACGACCAGGGCUACACACGUGCUACAAUGGCAUAUACAAAGAGAAGCGACCUCGCGAGAGCAAGCGGACCUCAUAAAGUAUGUCGUAGUCCGGAUUGGAGUCUGCAACUCGACUCCAUGAAGUCGGAAUCGCUAGUAAUCGUAGAUCAGAAUGCUACGGUGAAUACGUUCCCGGGCCUUGUACACACCGCCCGUCACACCAUGGGAGUGGGUUGCAAAAGAAGUAGGUAGCUUAACCUUCGGGAGGGCGCUUACCACUUUGUGAUUCAUGACUGGGGUGAAGUCGUAACAAGGUAACCGUA
rnacentral:rRNA from 1 species